UUUUUCCGAAAUUAUUGGGCGUAAAGGGCUCCCGGGCCCUUAGAUUUUUAUUCAUGGUCAGGACGAACGCCGGCGGCGUGCGUAAUACAUGCAAGUCGAGCGGACAGAUCGGAGCUUGCUCCCUGAUGUUCGCGGCGGACGGGUGAGUAACACGUGGGUAACCUGCCUGUAAGACUGGGAUAACUCCGCGAAACCGGGGCUAAUACCGGAUGGUUGUAUGAACCGCAUGGUUCAAACAUAAAAGGUGGCUUCGGCUACCACUUACAGAUGGACCCGCGGCGCAUUAGCUAGUUGGUGAGGUAACGGCUCACCAAGGCAACGAUGCGUAGCCGACCUGAGAGGGUGAUCGGCCACACUGGGACUGAGACACGGCCCAGACUCCUACGGGAGGCAGCAGUAGGGAAUCUUCCGCAAUGGACGAAAGUCUGACGGAGCAACGCCGCGUGAGUGAUGAAGGUUUUCGGAUCGUAAAGCUCUGUUGUUAGGGAAGAACAAGUACCGUUCGAAUAGGGCGGUACCUUGACGGUACCUAACCAGAAAGCCACGGCUAACUACGUGCCAGCAGCCGCGGUAAUACGUAGGUGGCAAGCGUUGUCCGGAAUUAUUGGGCGUAAAGGGCUCGCAGGCGGUUUCUUAAGUCUGAUGUGAAAGCCCCCGGCUCAACCGGGGAGGGUCAUUGGAAACUGGGGAACUUGAGUGCAGAAGAGGAGAGUGGAAUUCCACGUGUAGCGGUGAAAUGCGUAGAGAUGUGGAGGAACACCAGUGGCGAAGGCGACUCUCUGGUCUGUAACUGACGCUGAGGAGCGAAAGCGUGGGGAGCGAACAGGAUUAGAUACCCUGGUAGUCCACGCCGUAAACGAUGAGUGCUAAGUGUUAGGGGGUUUCCGCCCCUUAGUGCUGCAGCUAACGCAUUAAGCACUCCGCCUGGGAGACCGCAGG
rnacentral:rRNA from 1 species